rnacentral:rRNA from 1 species
UGAGUAACACGUGGGCAAUCUGCCCUGCACUUCGGGAUAAGCCUGGGAAACUGGGUCUAAUACCGGAUAGGACCUUUAGACGCAUGUCUUUUGGUGGAAAGCUUUUGCGGUGUGGGAUGGGCCCGCGGCCUAUCAGCUUGUUGGUGGGGUGAUGGCCUACCAAGGCGACGACGGGUAGCCGGCCUGAGAGGGUGUCCGGCCACACUGGGACUGAGAUACGGCCCAGACUCCUACGGGAGGCAGCAGUGGGGAAUAUUGCACAAUGGGCGCAAGCCUGAUGCAGCGACGCCGCGUGGGGGAUGACGGCCUUCGGGUUGUAAACCUCUUUCACCAUCGACGAAGGUUCGGGUUUUCUCGGAUUGACGGUAGGUGGAGAAGAAGCACCGGCCAACUACGUGCCAGCAGCCGCGGUAAUACGUAGGGUGCGAGCGUUGUCCGGAAUUACUGGGCGUAAAGAGCUCGUAGGUGGUUUGUCGCGUUGUUCGUGAAAUCUCACGGCUUAACUGUGAGCGUGCGGGCGAUACGGGCAGACUAGAGUACUGCAGGGGAGACUGGAAUUCCUGGUGUAGCGGUGGAAUGCGCAGAUAUCAGGAGGAACACCGGUGGCGAAGGCGGGUCUCUGGGCAGUAACUGACGCUGAGGAGCGAAAGCGUGGGGAGCGAACAGGAUUAGAUACCCUGGUAGUCCACGCCGUAAACGGUGGGUACUAGGUGUGGGUUUCCUUCCUUGGGAUCCGUGCCGUAGCUAACGCAUUAAGUACCCCGCCUGGGGGAGUACGGCCGCAAGGCUAAAACUCAAAGGAAUUGACGGGGGGCCCGCACAA